UAUAACUUUCAGCAAUGGAUCUCUAGGCUCUCACGUCGAUGAAGAACACAGUGAAAUGUGAUACGUAAUGUGAAUUGCAUAAUUCAGUGAAUCAUCGAAUCUUUGAACGCACCUUGCACCUUUUGGUUAUUCCGAGAGGUACACCUGUUUGAAUGU
rnacentral:rRNA from 5 species